CGGGAAGUAGCUCGGCUUGAUAGAGCAGAUGCAGGGGGCGCAGGUUCGAAUCCUGUCUUCUCGA
rnacentral:tRNA from 1 species